UACGGGGGGUGCGAGCGUUGUCCGGAAUCAUUGGGCGUAAAGGGCGCGUAGGUGGCUCUGUAAGUUUGCGGUGAAAGCCCGGGGCUCAACCCCGGGUCUGCCGUGGAUACUGCAAGGCUUGAGUACUGUAGAGGCAGGUAGAAUGUCGGGUGUAGCGGUGGAAUGCGUAGAGAUCCGGUGGAAGACCGGUGGCGAAGGCGGCCUGCUGGGCAGUAACUGACGCUGAGGCGCGACAGCGUGGGGAGCAAACAGG
rnacentral:rRNA from 1 species